AUUGAACGCUGGCGGCAGGCCUAACACACGCAAGUCGAGCGGAUGAAGGGAGCUUGCUCCUGGAUUCAGCGGCGGACGGGUGAGUAAUGCCUAGGAAUCUGCCUGGUAGUGGGGGAUAACGUCCGGAAACGGGCGCUAAUACCGCAUACGUCCUGAGGGAGAAAGUGGGGGAUCUUCGGACCUCACGCUAUCAGAUGAGCCUAGGUCGGAUUAGCUAGUUGGUGGGGUAAAGGCCUACCAAGGCGACGAUCCGUAACUGGUCUGAGAGGAUGAUCAGUCACACUGUAACUGAGACACGGUCCAGACUCCUACGGGAGGCAGCAGUGGGGAAUAUUGGACGAUGGGCGAAAGCCUGAUCCAGCCAUGCCGCGUGUGUGAAGAAGGUCUUCGGAUUGUAAAGCACUUUAAGUUGGGAGGAAGGGCAGUAAGUUAAUACCUUGCUGUUUUGACGUUACCAACAGAAUAAGCACCGGCUAACUUCGUG
rnacentral:rRNA from 1 species